AGAGCGAACGCUGGCGGCAGGCCUAACACAUGCAAGUCGAACGGACCCUUCGGGGUUAGUGGCGGACGGGUGAGUAACACGUGGGAACGUGCCUUUAGGUUCGGAAUAGCUCCUGGAAACGGGUGGCAAUGCCGAAUGUGCCCUUCGGGGGAAAGAUUUAUCGCCUUUAGAGCGGCCCGCGUCUGAUUAGCUUGUUGGUGAGGUAAUGGCUCACCAAGGCUACGAUCAGUAGCUGGUCUGAGAGGAUGACCAGCCACAUUGGGACUGAGACACGGCCCAAACUCCUACGGGAGGCGGCGAGGUGGGGAAUAGUUAGGACAAGUGGGACG
rnacentral:rRNA from 1 species